rnacentral:rRNA from 1 species
AUUGAACGCUGGCGGCAUGCUUUACACAUGCAAGUCGGACGGCAGCACAGAGAAGCUUGCUUCUUGGGUGGCGAGUGGCGAACGGGUGAGUAAUAUAUCGGAACGUACCGAGUAAUGGGGGAUAACUAAUCGAAAGAUUAGCUAAUACCGCAUAUUCUCUGAGGAGGAAAGCAGGGGACCUUCGGGCCUUGCGUUAUUCGAGCGGCCGAUAUCUGAUUAGCUAGUUGGUGGGGGAAAGGCCUACCAAGGCGACGAUCAGUAGCGGGUCUGAGAGGAUGAUCCGCCACACUGGGACUGAGACACGGCCCAGACUCCUACGGGAGGCAGCGGUGGGGAAUUUUGGACAAUGGGCGCAAGCCUGAUCCAGCCAUGCCGCGUGUCUGAAGAAGGCCUUCGGGUUGUAAAGGACUUUUGUCAGGGAAGAAAAGGCUGUUGCUAAUAUCAAUAGCUGAUGACGGUACCUGAAGAAUAAGCACCGGCUAACUACGUG